rnacentral:rRNA from 1 species
UCAAGUGACUAAGUGCAUGUGGCGGAUGCCUUGGCGAUCACAGGCGAAGAAAGACGCGGCAGCCUGCGAAAAGCUGCGGGGAGCUGGCAAACGAGCUUUGAUCCGCAGAUAUCUGAAUGGGGGAACCCACACCGCAAGGUGUAUCCGUGACUGAAUACAUAGGUUACGGAGGCGAACGAGGAGAACUGAAACAUCUAAGUAUCCUCAGGAAAAGAAAUCAACCGAGAUUCCGGCAGUAGCGGCGAGCGAACCCGGAGGAGCCUAGCUUUUGAUAGUACGAACUUUAGCCGAAAGGUCCUGGAAAGGCCUGCUAUAGUGGGUGAUAGCCCCGUAGGCGAAAGAGUUCGUAUGGUACUAAGGAAGCGAGAAGUAGAGCGGGACACGUGGAAUCCUGUUCGAAGAUGGGGGGACCAUCCUCCAAGGCUAAAUACUCGUGAUCGACCGAUAGUGAACCAGUACCGUGAGGGAAAGGCGAAAAGAACCCCGGGAGGGGAGUGAAAUAGAACCUGAAACCGCAUGCAUACAAACAGUAGGAGCCUCGUCAGAGGUGACUGCGUACCUUUUGCAUAAUGGGUCAGCGACUUACAUUCUGUGGCGAGCUUAACCGAAUAGGGGAGGCGCAGCGAAAGCGAGUUCGAAAUGAGCGUCCAGUCGCAGGGUGUAGACCCGAAACCAGAUGAGCUAUCCAUGGCCAGGUUGAAGGUGUGGUAACACACACUGGAGGACCGAACCGACUAGUGUUGCAAAAUUAGCGGAUGAGCUGUGGAUAGGGGUGAAAGGCCAAACAAAUCUGGAGAUAGCUGGUUCUCCCCGAAAACUAUUGAGGUAGUGCCUCGUGUGUCGCUCCAGGGGGUAGAGCACUGUUUUGGCUAGGGGGACAUGGAGUCUUACCAAACCAAGGCAAACUCCGAAUACCUGGAAGCGUGAGCACGGGAGACAGAGCACCGGGUGCUAACGUCCGGACUCAAAAGGGAAACAACCCAGACCGCCGGCUAAGGUCCCCAAUAACAGCUAAGUGGAAAACGAAGUGGAAAGGCCGUGACAACCAGGAAGUUGGCUUAGAAGCAGCCAUCCUUCAAAGAAAGCGUAAUAGCUCACUGGUCGAGUCCUUCUGCGCGGAAGAUGUAACGGGGCUAAGCUGUUAACCGAAGCCGCGGAUGCACUGAUUAUUCAGUGCGUGGUAGGGGAGCGUUCUGUAAGUCUGCGAAGGCGGUUCGAGAGGACUGCUGGAGAUAUCAGAAGUGCGAAUGCUGACAUGAGUAACGUUAAAGCAGGUGAAAAGCCUGCUCGCCGUAAGCCCAAGGAUUCCUGCUCUACGUUCAUCGGAGCAGGGUGAGUCGGCUCCUAAGGUCAGGCCGAAAGGCGUAGCCGAUGGGAAUCAGGUUAAUAUUCCUGAACCUGCGUCAGAUGCGAUGGGGGGACGGAGCAUGAAAGAUCAUCCGGGUGUUGGAUGUCCCGGUUGACGAGCGUAGGAGGUCUGCAGGCAAAUCCGCAGACGCAUCUCCAAGGCGAAGUCACGUGCCGCCACGGCGGCGAAGUGAUCGGAAGUGCUUCCAAGAAAAGCCUCUAAGCACCAGUCUGACGCGGACCGUACCGCAAACCGACACUGGUGGGCGAGCUGAAUAUGCUCAGGCGCUUGAGAGAACUCGGGAGAAGGAACUCGGCAAAUUGACACCGUAACUUCGGAAGAAGGUGUGCCGUAGUACCGUGAGAGGAGAGACACCUUGAGCGGGAAUCGGUCUCAGAGAAUAGGUGGCUGCGACUGUUUAUUAAAAACACAGCACUCUGCAAAGUCGAAAGACGACGUAUAGGGUGUGAUGCCUGCCCGGUGCUGGAAGAUUAAUUGAUGGGGUGAGAGCCCUUGAUCGAAGUCCCAGUAAACGGCGGCCGUAACUAUAACGGUCCUAAGGUAGCGAAAUUCCUUGUCGGGUAAGUUCCGACCUGCACGAAUGGUGUAA